rnacentral:rRNA from 1 species
UGGGGAAUAUUGCACAAUGGGCGCAAGCCUGAUGCAGCCAUGCCGCGUGUGUGAAGAAGGCCUUCGGGUUGUAAAGCACUUUCAGCGAGGAGGAAGGUGGUGAGCUUAAUACGCUCAUCAAUUGACGUUACUCGCAGAAGAAGCACCGGCUAACUCCGUGCCAGCAGCCGCGGUAAUACGGAGGGUGCAAGCGUUAAUCGGAAUUACUGGGCGUAAAGCGCACGCAGGCGGUUUGUUAAGUCAGAUGUGAAAUCCCCGGGCUCAACCUGGGAACUGCAUUUGAAACUGGCAAGCUAGAGUCUCGUAGAGGGGGGUAGAAUUCCAGGUGUAGCGGUGAAAUGCGUAGAGAUCUGGAGGAAUACCGGUGGCGAAGGCGGCCCCCUGGACGAAGACUGACGCUCAGGUGCGAAAGCGUGGGGCAGCAAACAGGAUUAGAUACCCUGGUAGUCACGCUGUAAACGAUGUCGAUUUUGGAGGUUGUGCCCUUGAGGCGUGGCUUCCGGAGCUAACGCGUUAAAUCGACCGCCUGGGGAGUAC